UAACGAAAGUGAGCUCUAUUUUCUAAAU
rnacentral:sRNA from 1 species